rnacentral:lncRNA from 1 species
AUUCUGACUCAGGGGUGACUCAGCUCUUCCAUGACCUGUGUUCCCACUUCUCCUUGAUAAGGCCAAUGUUUUGGCCCUACUGGUGAAAAUAUGUAGACCUAACAUCUAUCUCCCUGCUCCAGUUUCAAGAGAAAAGACCUUAUUCAGAGAAAUAUUUAGAAGACUCUUGUGGAAUUCUUGCUGCAGGGAGGAACUUGGAUUGUCCUUCAGUAAAAUUCCACUUUGAUGCGCAAAGCGAACUUGAAUUUCUGCUUGGCCUACCACAGGCCUGCAACAUGCACUUUCUCCUCGAGGGAACUGCCACUCACUGACACGGACAACAGUAAAGGAACUUGGUCUUCACUAUGCCUCAUAGUGGUGGGUCACACUGCCCAGGAGGAACCCGCAAUGAGACCGGCAAAUGCCUUAACCAUCUCAUUGUCUCAUCAGGAAGAAGCUUAAAUGACUCUUCUUGCUCACAUACUUCCUGGGCAAACAUGUCUGCUCUGUUGGGAUAAAGGACGCUCUAGACCAGGCUCUGCUGAAAGAUCCAGGGCAAAGGUUCCUGACAAGACUAUGUCCAGCCUCAAAUAAGGCCACAGAAGAGCCCAGGCUCGCUGACGAGCACCGGCUCCGAGGCAGUCACAUCAGGAGACAGAAACAGACAUGUUGGUGCUGCCCUCUCAGGUCAGUGCAAAUGCCACUUGAGGAGGGCUGAGAGCUUUGCAGCAUAAAAUGACCAGAACAAGGAGAAACACAGAUGCAAUGGCAAUAGCUGGCAAUUCGCACAUGGCGUCAAACACCACUGCCACAGAAGCUUUUUAGCUACAAGCCACGCUAUGCAACCUUUAAGCAAAACAUUAUUGAUUUUGUGGUUGUAAAAACAUACCUUCAACUGCAGAACUCAGUUUUAUGACACCUUGAAUAAAAACAAAAAGUGGCAGUUAUAUAAUGGACCCAAAUCGCCUUUUCCAGGCUUCUCAUAACACACGCAUGCUUCAGAUUUGGAUUUUUCUUUUUCUGCUGGCAUUGCAAGAACGUAACUAAACAAAUAUCAACUUCAAAAAUAAAAUAAUUUUUAGUCUUAA